UGGGCUUGACCUAAAGGCCUGGCCGGGGCUUUCAGAGUUAUCAGUUCUGCACUGGGCUUUGCAUGACCCUUGGCUAAUCUCUUAUCUCUGUGCCUCAAUUCUCUGUCUGGGUGAGG